GCAGCCAAGGAGAAGAUCUAUGCGUAGUGAGCGCGCCUGCUGGGAUGUUGCAUUAAUCUGGUGAGCUGUUUUCGUUUAAACUAUGACUGUGGUUUCAAAGUUUAGAGGCUAGAUGUUUCAUUACGUGGAUGAGGUUAGUGUGACCGGUACUGUGGAAUUAUUUUCGAGGUUCGAGUCCUGGAACUAUUAAUCUGUCGGGUUGCCAGACCUGUUGAAUUUAAAAAAAAAAGAUUAUGACAUUGAGGUCGAUCAAAUCCUGAGGUCCUGCUAAGCUAAGGUCAUGAGCGUCUUGAAAUCGAUGUUGACUGCAGUAGAGACCAGUGGCGACAAAUCAUGGCAAGAUGCUCUAGGUGAAGUACAACUUGCAAUUAAUUGUACCUUGAACCGCGUUACAAAGGCUUCACCACUGGAGUUACUUAUCGGUAAAGUCGCAAGACCGUUGUCGUUGAUGUGUAGUGAGGUUGAUAACAAGUCAAUAUUGAAAGCGUUCGCGAAACUGCGUCAGAGAAUAUUCAGAGGAGAGCUGACUACGAUAAGACUCGUUUUGAUAGGACUAAGGCCAAAGUAUUGAAUUUUGAGAUUGGUGAUUUUGUUUUGCUAGAAAAUUAAGAGCGAAAUCAAACUAAAAUAGAUGCAAAAUUUAAAGGUCCUUUUAAAGUAAUCGAGGUCUUAGAUGGUGAUCGUUAUCGACUAAAGGCUAUAAAUUCAAAACCAACUUACAAAUACUCACGAUAGGUUAAGAAAGAUGCCAGCGAGCGAUACCAAUCAGUAUUGACGAUGAUGUAGAGAAUGAUGAAGAUUGAGUUUGGGUGGAUUCGAGUGGUUACUAUCGACCGUAUUAAUUCGACUUAACCAGUAGCUGAGCCGAGGUAAGUUCUCUUUGUUAACUUCUCUUUGUGGAAGAGAGUGGGUGUAGAGCUCGUGCUUGUGUAAGGCUCUGGUUGUAGUCGUGGUCUUGUGUGACGUGUGACCGUAGCGUGUGAUAAAGCGUGCAAUCCACAUGAGGUGGAGGUGCGUCUUUGAGUUCGGUUUGGAUUAACCGUGGGGACAAGUGAUUACUCGAAUGGUAUAUCAGAAUAAAUCAUUGUGAUGAUAUUUUUGUUCGUGAUUGGUACAUGGCAAACUGAUGAAAGUUACCUAGGUACAUAAGAUUUGACGUGUACUAGUUGUGUCUGUGUGUAAAUUUGUGCUAGUGCUGAUACUGUUGAUUGAAUAAAGUUUGAUUCUGACUUAUGAGUUUUCAUAAAAGAUGAGAGAUGAGAGAUGACAGAGACAGAGAGGGACUUUUAGAUUGUUUUUUUUGUAGCUAAGGUCAUUAGGGUUAUGAACAUGCGUCCAUGACCUCAUUAGGUAAAUUUCCGAAAGUUGAUUCCCAAUUUUUUUGAUUAUGAUCUUUUUUAUGCUAAGUAAUGAUGAAACAAUAGAUUGGAUUGCGUGUUUCUGUGGUGUGUCUUGCUCAAUUGUUUAAUGCCACUGGAUGGAAGUGGUAGUACAAGACUAACACUGGAUGGAAGUGUUAGUGAGUGCUGGAUGGAGGCACUGGAAUGACGCCGGAUGGAGGUGUUAGUGCGUGCUGGAUGGAGGCACUGGAAUGACACCGGAUGGAGGUGUGCAUUCGUGAUGAGUACUUGGGUAACCGGAUGAAGGUUGCCGGACAAGUGAGCAAGGACCAUUGGUAAUCAGAUCCUGAUCCGUGUUUUUGUUUAGUACAGAGUUAAAGAUAGUGGAUUAACUUUCGAGUAGGUAUUGAUUUGUUUUGUCUGAUACCACUAAAUGGAAGUGGUAGUAGACUGACGCCGGAUAGAGGUUGUCUUGAGUCACUAUCAGACGCCAGAGAGAGGUUGUCUUGGAUGAGAGUAUGAUUAAUUUAAGCUGUGUAUACAUUCUUCGAUUAUUUUUAACGUUAUAGCUGUUCCAUCAAUGGGUUUAAGCUGUUUUGAAAUUUUCCUUUUUGAAACGUGUAACUAAUUGAACUUUGAUAUCCAAUUUUGAGAUUUAAUGACUUUUUGUCUGAUACUGUGAAAGUUAAAGCUUCAUAGUUCAUCAGUGUGAUGAAUGCAGAGUUCAUGAGCCCACUGCUUUCUUCUCUGACUAGGUCAGGACUGGCCGAGUAAAAUUCAGUUACUGCGGUUGUUUUUCUUUCUUUCCAGAUAACUCACACGAGGACGUGUGAGAUGUCAUGAUGGCCGUGUCGCAGCGUUGGCAGACAAACGCCGCAUCGAUGUUGAUUUGAGCGUGUAAACGCGUCGUAAUCGAAUCAGAAACGUCAAGGGAUUUUCCUUGGGUAAGGUCGAUACAGCCCUGGCAACAUUUUAAAAAGUAAGAGGUCACGUGACGUUUAAAAAGUGAAGGGGCCUUGCCGCGUUUCUAAAAGUAAUCCGUCUGCAUCAUCGCGAUCUUGCAUUGUUACAUUAAGUGUUGAUUGUAAUCUGAAUAAUCAAGAUACGAACUAUA